rnacentral:tRNA from 1 species
GCCCGGGUGGUGAAAUUGGUAGACACAAGGGACUUAAAAUCCCUCGAUCAUUGCGAUCGUGCCGGUUCAAUUCCGGCCCCGGGUACCA